AUGUAUAACUGCUACCGUAACAGUGCCCCCACCCUCACCGUCCUGCCCCCCUCUAGCGAGGAGCUGUCCAGUACAACAACAGCCACACUGACAUGUCUGGCCAACAAGGGCUUCCCCUCAGACUGGAUCAUGAGCUGGAAUGUGGACGGGACCAGCCAGAAGCAGGAGGCCAAUCCCGGGGUCCUGGAGAAGGCCGGCCUGUACAGCUGGUGCAGCACCCUGACUCUCACUGCCCAGGAGUGGACCAAGGCAGGAGGUGUGACCUGUGAAGCCCAGCAGAAAUCCCGGACUCCAGUCACCAAUACCCUGAGGAGGGCUGACUGUUCUGGGUAGGACCCCUCAGUCACACACCCCUGUGGAGAGUUCCUCUGCUUUGACACCCCUGCUGAUUCCUCUGCUUUGACUCUGUUCUGAGUUCAGAUGUUCUCUGUCUUAUUGAUCACUGAUAUGUAGACUAACAGUGGGCUUUUCUUGAGUUCAUGUGUCAUUCCUCUCUGUAGACUAAGGUUGUAUCUAUCAGGUAUGAAGAGAAGACCCAGAUGCAGACCACAUUGAAUAAACAAUAGUUCAAUGUUCCAACAGGGGCAGGCAGUAGACAGGUCAAUGCAGGCAGGGGUCAGAAAACCAGAGGUCGGCAACGGUACCGGAUAGCAGGCAGACUCAGGGUCUGGGUAAGGCAGAGGCAGGCGGGCUCAGAGUCAGGACAGGCAAGGGUCAAAACCAGGAGGGCAAGAAAAGAGAGACUAGAAAAAGCAUGAGCUGAGACACAAAACACUGGUUGACUCAAACAAACAAGAUGAACUAGCAACAGACACAGGUAUAAAUACACAGGGGAUAAUGGGGAAGAAGGGCGACACCUGCAGGGGUGUGGAGACAAUCACAAAGACAGGUGAAACAGAUCAGGAUGUGACAGUAUCAGUGUGAGAUGUGAUGUGUUCUGUUUUAUUACUAUUAGAUACUACAGGAAUGUUUGCUUUGAUGUUUUGAUUAAUGGAUGAAAAUAAAGGUUUCCCUUUGGAACAAAUAUUUUUCUUGUCUUUUUCAAAAAUGAGACUUUUGAUCAAUAUCUUGGACUCACCAAUGUGACCACUCCUGUAUUUAUCUAAAAAGUUGUCAAAAUAAUAUUACAAGUAUCACAUCUUCAAGAUAGAGUCUUCUCUCACUCCAACCCCCUGGUGACAGUGCUGCUCUAUUCUGGGACAAGCAGAACCACCUAGGCCUGUCUAUGUAAAUCUCAGUUUCACUCCCACAGCUACCAGUCUAGCAGUUGACCACUAUCUGAAAUAUCCUGGAUUGGACCAGAUGAGGUAGUGGACUGGUUGUAACCUUUAUGGUGGACUCAGGGAGGAAGACAUAAAUGAUAUGCCACCAUGCAAUUAAUGACAGAUACAAUUGUUAUUAUACUUUAUGUAGAUACUGUAUAUAUGUAACAGUAUCACUUUAGACCAUUACCUUGCCCAUACCCGGGUGCGAACAAGGGACCCUCUGCACACAUCAACAACAGUCACCCACAAAGCAUCGUUACCCAUCACUCCACAAAAGCCACAGCCCUUGCAGAGCAAGGGGAACCACUACUUCAAGGUCUCAGAGCAAGUGACGUCACCGAUUGAAACGCUAUUUAGCGCGCACCACCGCUAACUAGCUAGCUAUUUCACAUCCGUUACAUAUAGCUCCUCCCACCAGUAGUUUUAGUGAUGGUUGAGCCCAGCAUCAUGUCUCAUUCACAGAUCUAACAGUCACUAACCCGCUCAUUAAAAUAGUUAAUAUAAUGUUAGAAGGUCACAUCCAUUUAAAUCAGACAUUUGGUUGAGGUUCAUAUGAGGACUUGUUUUGGGGCCUGAAGUGAAUGUAACUUUGAACUAAUGUUGAGGCCAUAACAACCUUUGUUUUACUUCUGGAGAUCUUGCUUUGCAAAUUGACAGGUAUUGUGUUUCAAAACAUCAAAUAACUUUUAUAGGUCAUGAUAACAAAUACUAUAAGUCAUAACCAUGAUGAUGAUGAGGGUCAUGUGAUCUGAAUGUGUCACGCUCUGAUCUGUUUCACCUGUCCCUGUGAUUGUCUCCACCCCUCCAUGUGUUGCUUAUUUCCCCCAGUGUAUUUAUCCCUGUGUUUCCUGUCUCUCUAUGCCAGGUCGUCUUGUAUGUUUAGUCAAGUCAACCAGCGUGUUUUUCUCUGUACUCUUUUUCGAUUCUCUUUUGCCAGUCUUCCUGGUUUUGACCACUGCCUGACUCUGGACUGCUUUCCCGCCUGCCUGAUCAUCCUGCCUGCCCUGACCUUGAAUCUGCCUGCCCUUCAGUACCUAUUGGACUCUGAACUGGUUUUGACCUUUUGCCUGUACACAACCAUUCUCUUGCCUACCCCUUUUUGGACUAAUAAACAUUGUAAGACUCCAACCAUCUGCCUCUUGUGUCUACAUCUGGGUCUCGCCUUG